UACGUAGGGUGCAAGCGUUAAUCGGAAUUACUGGGCGUAAAGCGUGCGCAGGCGGUGAUGUAAGACAGUUGUGAAAUCCCCGGGCUCAACCUGGGAACUGCAUCUGUGACUGCAUUGCUGGAGUGCGGCAGAGGGGGAUGGAAUUCCGCGUGUAGCAGUGAAAUGCGUAGAUAUGCGGAGGAACACCGAUGGCGAAGGCAAUCCCCUGGGCUGACACUGACGCUCAGGCACGAAAGCGUGGGGAGCAAACAGG
rnacentral:rRNA from 1 species